CCAAGGUGAUCAGAGUAUCAGCCGUGUUAUUCACAAAAACAAUGAGGAGAUGAUCAGAGAUGCAUUCCCACGCUCAGGGCGACCCUAAACCUCUGACUGCCAGAAGUUCUCCAACAUUUCCCUGUUCUGUAUGGUCCCCCUGAAGCUCUGGUACUGGCCACUGUUGGAGACAUGAUAUUGGGCUAGAUGGACCAGUUUUUAUAUGUUUUUAUGUUCUAAAAAGAAUCCCAAAUUUUAUUUUUAAUCUCAGGAAUUGAAAGCCAAUCUCAUGAUUUUUUGAAGCCUGAUUUAGGGUGUUUGAACACUUAGCGUUGGCAGUAUGGAAACUGACACAAGGAUUACAGGCCUAAAGGAAGUUACUCACAGAACUGGGAGUAGGAGUGGAAGUUGGGAAGUUCAUGGAAUCGCAGUGGGCCGUUAGAGCCUAUUGUUCUGAAUGCAGCCAUUUGGGAACCAAUUAAUCAUUCGUGUAAUGUUCCAAGUCCCAGAGAAGGGGAAACACGACAGGCAAAAGAAAAACCAAGCAAAAAAGAAACAGCAUAAA